rfam:Bacillus sp. FJAT-22058 super1, whole genome shotgun sequence.
AACUUAUUCAGAGCGACGGAGGGAAUUGGCCCUUUGAAGUCCAGCAACCUGCAUGAUGGAUGCAAGGUGCUACCUCCAACAAAAUGUUGAUCAUUUUGGAAGAUAAGGU